GCGGUGAAGUCAGACCGGAAGGACUGGUGGAGCGCUUAGAAGUGAGAAUGCCGGUAUGAGUAGCGAAAGAAGGGUGAGAAUCCCUUCCACCGAAUAUCUAAGGUUUCCUGAGGAAGGCUCGUCCGCUCAGGGUUAGUCGGGACCUAAGCCGAGGCCGAUAGGCGUAGGCGAUGGACAACAGGUAGAGAUUCCUGUACCAGUGCUAAUUGUUUAACCGAUGGGGUGACACAGAAGGAUAGGGAAUCGCACGAAUGGAAAUGUGCGUCCAAGCAGUGAGUGUGAGAAGUAGGCAAAUCCGCUUCUCGCGAAGCAUGAGCUGUGAUGGGGAAGGAAAUUAAGUACGGAAGUUCCUGAUUUCACGCUGUCAAGAAAAGCCUCUAGGAAGAGUAGUACUGCCCGUACCGCAAACCGACACAGGUAGAUGAGGAGAGAAUCCUAAGGUGAGCGAGAGAACUCUCGUUAAGGAACUCGGCAAAAUGACCCCGUAACUUCGGGAGAAGGGGUGCUCUAUUAGGGUGCAAGCCCGAGAGAGCCGCAGUGAAUAGGCCCAGGCGACUGUUUAGCAAAAACACAGGUCUCUGCAAAACCGUAAGGUGACGUAUAGGGGCUGACGCCUGCCCGGUGCUGGAAGGUUAAGAGGA
rnacentral:rRNA from 1 species